rnacentral:rRNA from 1 species
AGUGAACGCUGGCGGUAGGCCUAACACAUGCAAGUCGAACGGCAGCACAGUAAGAGCUUGCUCUUACGGGUGGCGAGUGGCGGACGGGUGAGGAAUACAUCGGAAUCUACUUUUUCGUGGGGGAUAACGUAGGGAAACUUACGCUAAUACCGCAUACGACCUACGGGUGAAAGCAGGGGAUCUUCGGACCUUGCGCGAUUGAAUGAGCCGAUGUCGGAUUAGCUAGUUGGCGGGGUAAAGGCCCACCAAGGCGACGAUCCGUAGCUGGUCUGAGAGGAUGAUCGGCCCCACUGGACCUGAGCAACGGUCCAGCCUCCUACGGGAGGCGGCGGUGGGGAAUUUUGGCAAAUGGGCGCAAGCCUGAUCCAGCCAUCCGGGGUGGGUGAAGAAGGCCUUCGGGUUGUAAAGCCCUUUUGCGGGGAAAGAAAACAAGCAGGUUAAUACCCGGCUGUUCUGCCGGUACCCAAAGAAUAGGACCCGGCUACUUUCUU